AGCAUACAACCGAUUUCCAGUCAUAUGUACCAAUUUCUGUACAGACUUAUUUUUUAAAUAGCCUGUUAUUUAUCACAGUUUUGCCAAAGCGAUAAUAAUAUGAAAUUGUUUUUAAUGUUACUGGAUUUGCAUAUAUUUGGGCAUAAGUAUCACUAACUCAGUCCACUGUGCUUGUUAAAAGAUCUUAAUUUCAAAUAAUAGAUGUGUUUUAAAGCACCGUAUCAAGGAAUAUGCUUCCCAACAGAGGGAAAUGCUUUUUAUUAGCUCUUGAAACCAUGGAAUCUGUUGGUGUGAGGUCCUCUGUAUGCCAGUAGGCCAUGUUUCAGAAAAAAACAAGUAUAACUGAAAGGAGUCUCAGAAAGUCCACAUUUGUAUAGUGUUACAUGGAAGCUGAAAUACUUUGGAAGCAGUUCUUGGUGAUGUUCAGAAUUUGCAUCUUGUAUGGAUUACUGCUGAGUGGAUCUAAAAUUUGGCUUUGAAUUGAGGAAAAAAAUCCUAAAAUGAGAGAUCAGUCUUUGAACAAGUAGUUUUCUCCUUAGUGAUUCUGUAGGAGCAUUGAUGGCUCAGGCUGCAGUCCCUCCCAGGUCACUUUAACACAACAUGAAUCCAUUAUCGUCUCAGAGAGGAAAGUCUUACUCUUCCUGGCCCACCCCUACUUCCACUCAUUUUCUGGUCUUAGGAUAUGGGUGUUUAUGAAGAGGGCUAGCUCAGGGAACCAUUCCAGCUGAAAUUUAACCAAACCAAAAACCAGCUACUUCAGUAAUUGCAGCCUUGCUUCCAAAGCCUGCUUAUUAACUGAGUGGAACCACCCAUACUGUCUCAUUUAGCUUCUAGCCUGGAAUUCGAACAAAAUACCCAGAGUAAUUCUGUUUGUUAAUCCAGAGUGGCACCAUUAUUAUCAUGAGAUAAAAACCGAAAAAAAUAAAUCUGUAUAGCUUUACUAGUUUAAAAUUAUUGAUAAUAUCUGCAUUUAUUGAAAAGGUGGGAUAUAAUGGUAUGGUUUUGCAGGGCUGAUCUGAAGUAAAGUAGUACAGAAUCCUGGACUCUUAAACCUGCAGAUGAAAAGCUAUUACAGAAGACUGUUGAACAGUUCUGUCCUGUUUCUCAGGCCUAUCAAUGUCUAAUUAUUCCUACAGGAAGUCUCUACUUUCCAGUAAAACUGCUUAAAUUUAACACACUUUACCAGAGAUGCCGUUGUGUGAGAUGCUAUUGAGACUGCAUCUGGAUUAUUACAUAGCAGACUCUUCCUAUUCAAAAAAAGUCAAUUCAAGCUGACAGAGGUGCAGAAAAGGGCUCUGCCAAAAAGCAAGAAGAUAAGAAAUUAUUGCUCUGGAAAGACAUUCUCUUGAAAGUAUCAUUGAGGUGGUUUAAGAAAUUAUUACAACCAUGUUUGCUGCCUUGUUAGAUUAUACAACUCUUUCAGCUGAGUCAGUGGAAAGGAUAGUGUCAUCAUCUACCUCUACACAAGUCAUCCACUUAACCUAAAUUCCCAGGUCCAGCAGCUGUUGGCCUGUUAAUUUUCAGCUUUGUAAGAGAAGUUCACAAUCAACAGGCUGGUUUUGAUGACUCUCCUCCACCAUCCCCAGGAUCUUUGUAUAAUAUUAUUUCAUUCCAA